rnacentral:rRNA from 1 species
CCUACGGGAGGCUGCAGUGAGGAAUAUUGCUCAAUGGACGAGAGUCUGAACCAGCCAAGUAGCGUGAAGGAUGACUGCCCUAUGGGUUGUAAACUUCUUUUAUAUGGGAGUAAAGUGUUCCAUGUGUGGGUUUUUGUAUUUACCAUAUGAAUAAAGAUCGGCUAACUCCGUGCCAGCAGCCGCGGUAAGACGGUGGAUCCGAGCGUUAUCCGGAUUUAUUGGGUUUAAAGGGAGCGUAGGUGGAUUGUUAAGUCAGUUGUGAAAGUUUGCGGCUCAACCGUACAAUUGCAGUUGAAACUGGCAGUCGUGAGUACAGGAGAGGUGGGCGGAAUUCGUGGUGUAGCUGUGAAAUGCUUAGAGAUCACGAAGAACUCCGAUUGCGAAGGCAGUUCACUGGACGGCAACUGACACUGAGGCUCGAAAGUGUGGGUAUCAAACAGGAUUAGAUACCCUUGUAGUC